AGAAAUAUGUAAUUCAAGAAAAAGCUUCUAACUUAUUUCUUUAGCAGUGAAAUUCUGUUAAUAUUUC
rnacentral:tRNA from 1 species